GGGACUACAGGAGCCUAGCUAAUUUUUUUAUUUUUAGUAGAGACGGGGUUUCACUGUGUUAGCCAGGAUGGUCUCAAUCUCCUGACCUCAUGAUCCACCCGCCUCGGCCUCCCAAAGUGCUGGGAUUACAGGCGUGAGCCACCUCGCCUGGCCAGAUAAACACCUUUUCAAAUGGCAACUGGCUAUUGGGACACCACUUUUGUGAAAUAUUCGCAGAGCACCCACUAGGUGCCAGUAAAUGUAUGAGAAGUCCUGUGGAAUAAGACUGAAGUUGUCCUUGCCUUCAAGCAACUUGCAAUUGCCUAAGAACACAGUUUAAAACCACAAAACUAAGCCUUGGAAAUCACAUGCUGUCAUUUCUGCGAUCGGUCAUAACCAGUCCUGAUUCCAUGUUAGAGGAGACUACAUAAGGACACAGGUACCAGAAGCUGGAUCCACUGACCUGGAAUGCCUGGACUGAAGCAGGAGACUAACCAGCAUGGGCUACAUCAAAAAGGCUGCCAUCUACUUUCUGCUGGGUAGGGGCACCAGAGAGACUUGUCAGAAACUAGAAGGAAGGUAGAGUGCGAAAUCUGAGUGUUAAUUCCCUGGCUUCAUCAAAGGACACUGGUCUUCACAAGGAAACAGACUACAUGAUUCUCCUUUUGGGCUUCAGUAAAAACCCCCUCCUUUCAUCCCUUAGUCUAGGGAUGGUAAGAGGUCAGCAGCUAAGAAUUCUAGGUUCUUUGUGGUUUUCCCGUAUACAUGUCUUUGAUGAUAGCCCCUUUGGAAAUAAAUUCUCCUAGACUUU
rnacentral:lncRNA from 1 species